AGCGAACGCUGGCGGCAGGCUUAACACAUGCAAGUCGAGCGGGCCCUUCGGGGUCAGCGGCAGACGGGUGAGUAACACGUGGGAACGUACCCUUUGGUUCGGAAUAACGCUGGGAAACUAGCGCUAAUACCGGAUACGCCCUUGUGGGGAAAGGCUUGCUGCCGAAGGAUCGGCCCGCGUCUGAUUAGCUAGUUGGUGGGGUAAUGGCCUACCAAGGCGACGAUCAGUAGCUGGUCUGAGAGGAUGAUCAGCCACACUGGGACUGAGACACGGCCCAGACUCCUACGGGAGGCAGCAGUGGGGAAUAUUGGACAAUGGGCGCAAGCCUGAUCCAGCCAUGCCGCGUGAGUGAUGAAGGCCUUAGGGUUGUAAAGCUCUUUUGUCCGGGACGAUAAUGACGGUACCGGAAGAAUAAGCCCCGGCUAACUUCGUG
rnacentral:rRNA from 1 species